AACGAACGCUGGCGGCAUGCCUAACACAUGCAAGUCGAACGAGACCUUCGGGUCUAGUGGCGCACGGGUGCGUAACGCGUGGGAAUCUGCCCUUCGGUUGGGAAUAACUGAGAGAAAUUUCAGCUAAUACCUUAUAAUGUCUUCGGACCAAAGAUUUAUCGCCGAGGGAUGAGCCCGCGUAGGAUUAGGUAGUUGGUGGGGUAAUGGCCUACCAAGCCGACGAUCCUUAGCUGGUCUGAGAGGAUGAUCAGCCACACUGGGACUGAGACACGGCCCAGACUCCUACGGGAGGCAGCAGUGGGGAAUAUUGGACAAUGGGCGAAAGCCUGAUCCAGCAAUGCCGCGUGAGUGAUGAAGGCCUUAGGGUUGUAAAGCUCUUUUACCCGGGAUGAUAAUGACAGUACCGGGAGAAUAAGCUCCGGCUAACUCCGU
rnacentral:rRNA from 1 species